rnacentral:rRNA from 1 species
UACAGAGGUCUCAAGCGUUGUUCGGAUUCAUUGGGCGUAAAGGGCGCGUAGGCGGCCCGCUAAGUCGAACGUGAAAUCCCUGGGCUCAACCCAGGAACUGCGUCCGAUACUGGCAGGCUUGAAUCCGGGAGAGGGAUGUGGAAUUCCAGGUGUAGCGGUGAAAUGCGUAGAUAUCUGGAGGAACACCGGUGGCGAAGGCGGCAUCCUGGACCGGUAUUGACGCUGAUGCGCGAAAGCCAGGGGAGCAAACGGG